GAUGAACGCUGGCGGCGUGCCUAACACAUGCAAGUCGAACGGUAACAGGCUUUCACUGUUUACUGCUCACUUUCGAUUUUUCGAGAGGUAAAUGAGAAGUAAAGAGUGAAAGUGCUGACGAGUGGCGGACGGCUGAGUAACGCGUGGGAAUUUGCCCCAAAGUGAGGGAUAACUGCCCGAAAGGGUAGCUAAUACCGCAUAUGGUCUUCGGAUUAAAGGAUUUAUCCGCUUUGGGAGAAGCCCGCGUACGAUUAGAUAGUUGGUGAGGUAAUGGCUCACCAAGUCGACGAUCGUUAACUGGUCUGAGAGGAUGAUCAGUCAGACUGGAACUGAGACACGGUCCAGACUCCUACGGGAGGCAGCAGUGAGGAAUCUUCCACAAUGGGGGCAACCCUGAUGGAGCAACGCCGCGUGCAGGAUGAAGGCCUUCGGGUCGUAAACUGCUUUUAUUUGUGAAGAAUAUGACGGUAACAAAUGAAUAAGGGUCGGCUAACUACGUGCCAGCAGCCGCGGUAACAC
rnacentral:rRNA from 1 species